rnacentral:rRNA from 1 species
AUUGGGACUGAGACACGGCCCAAACUCCUACGGGAGGCAGCAGUAGGGAAUUUUCGGCAAUGGAGGAAACUCUGACCGAGCAACGCCGCGUGAACGAUGAAGUAUUUCGGUACGUAAAGUUCUUUUAUUAGGGAAGAAUAAAUGAUGGAAAAAUCAUUCUGACGGUACCUAAUGAAUAAGCCCCGGCUAACUAUGUGCCAGCAGCCGCGGUAAUACAUAGGGGGCAAGCGUUAUCCGGAAUUAUUGGGCGUAAAGGGUGCGUAGGCGGUUAAAUAAGUUUAUGGUCUAAGUGCAAUGCUCAACAUUGUGAUGCUAUAAAAACUGUUUAGCUAGAGUAAGAUAGAGGCAAGUGGAAUUCCAUGUGUAGUGGUAAAAUGCGUAAAUAUAUGGAGGAACACCAGUAGCGAAGGCGGCUUGCUGGGUCUUUACUGACGCUGAGGCACGAMAGCGUGGGGAGCAAACAGGAUUAGAUACCCUGGUAGUCCACGCCGUAAACGAUGAGUACUAAACGUUGGGUAAAACCAGUGUUGAAGUUAACACAUUAAGUACUCCGCCUGAGUAGUACGUACGCAAGUAUGAAACUUAAAGGAAUUGACGGGACUCCGCACAAGCGGUGGAUCAUGUUGUUUAAUUCGAAGGUACCCGAAAAACCUCACCAGGUCUUGACAUGCUUCUGCAAAGCUGUAGAAACACAGUGGAGGUUAUCAGUUGCACAGGUGGUGCAUGGUUGUCGUCAGCUCGUGUCGUGAGAUGUUGGGUUAAGUCCCGCAACGAGCGCAACCCUUAUUGUUAGUUACCAGCACGUAAUGGUGGGGACUUUAGCAAGACUGCCAGUGAUAAAUUGGAGGAAGGUGGGGACGACGUCAAAUCAUCAU